rnacentral:pre_miRNA from 1 species
AGUGGAAUUGCUGGGUCAAAUGGUAACUUUUAUGUUUAGCUAUUUGAGGAACUACCAGACUGUUUUCCACAGUGGCUGUACCACUUUACAUUCCCACUAGCAGU